GCCUUUGCAGUGGUCAGCUUUGAACCCUCAAAAGAAAAAGGGGGGAGCAGGAAGCCCUUUCGCUGCAGCAUAUUAAAAAAACCCACCACCUUAGAUGAGGGCAUCUCCUCCUCCCCUGCAGACACACACACACUUCUCUCCUUCCCAUUGAUAAGUUCUGCUAUCUUGAUCACAGUCCAUUCAGGCAAGCUGCUUUUGAAAGGAGCUUCUAAUUGUUUUUUGAGACAUCCAAGAUUUCAGUAUCUCCUUCGGUUUGUAUACAAAUGGCUGGGUGCAUUGCCAUGCUAAGACUUCAUUAAGGCAUAUACACAGGAUUUGGACUCCAGUGAUGCUUAUGAUCUGGGUGAGGUGUCUGGAGCACGUUCGUGUCCAAUGUCAUUGGAUAAGUUUCAGUUGCUGCGGCCUGAGGAUAUGGACAAGGUGAUGUGGUGAAUCAGUGCUUGGUUGCGACAAUGGACAAGAUGAGGGCCAAUAAACUGAAGCUUGAUCCAAACAAGACUGAGAUGCUGUUGUGGGUGGUUCCUCUGACUGGCUGAAUGGUUUAGAGUCACACUGAUUUCAGCAGGAGAGACUUAAGCAUGCGCUGGAAAACAAUGGGACUUCAAACCGUUUAACUUUGGCUGGAUCUUGCCUCAAAUUAGCACAAAUACAUUUACAACCAAACAAAUACAAGCAGCAAACAAAUGACCAUCAUGUCCCACUUAAAGGAUCUCAAAGAUGACUUCCACAGUGACACAGUCCUCUCCAUCUUAAAUGAACAACGCAUUCGGGGUGUUUUAUGUGAUGUUACUAUAAUUGUGGAAGACACCAAAUUUAAAGCCCAUAGCAAUGUCCUGGCUGCUUCAAGCCUUUAUUUCAAAAAUAUAUUUUUGAGUCGUGCUGUGUGCAUUUCUGGACAUGUACUAGAACUAGAUGACCUCAAGGCUGAAGUGUUCACAGACAUACUUAAUUAUAUCUACAGUUCUACAGUAGUUGUUAAAAAACAGGAGACUGUCUUAGACCUUGCAGCUGCAGGGAAAAAACUGGGAAUAUCCUUUCUAGAAGAUCUUACAGAAAAGAGGCUUUCAAAUUCUCCGUGUCCAUUCUCAUUUUUCAGUCCUGAAAAGAGUGACGUGAAAGAAGAAAAAAGACUUGAAGAAACAGCCAUCACAAAUGGACCAAGAAUUACAAAUGCAUACUCAAUUUUUGAAACAGAAAACAGCAAUAAUUUGUUUUCUCCUCUUGACCUGAGAGCAAGUUUUAAAAAAAAUCCUGAAACAAAUAAAGCACCCAGCAUUAGUCUGGAUAAGAACAGUGCUUGCAAAGAUGUUGAGCCAGCCAGUACAUUAGCUGAACAUUCUUAUGCUGUUACUACAGGUUGUGAUUCUUCUCAACGAAAUUCCUUUUAUCACCAUGAGAAUAACCCAGUUUGUAAAAUGAGUGAAGAUGAUUCUGAAGCUCUCCAGUCAAUGCCUCUGGUUGAAUCAGAAAUGCAAACAUACAGUACACCAAAGGCUGUUUAUAACUCUGAGGUCACUGAUAUACCUACAGUGAAGAUUUCAAACCACAAAGGACCCAGUGUGGAGGGUCACCCUAAAGUAGUAAACGAUCACACCAUUUCUUUCCAUAAAUCCCACCCAAAUACUGUUUUCUCUACCAAGGAAGAUGAGAAUAAAUCUGAUCACAUUUCUGGAUCAGUAGUCACAGUCAUUCCACCUGUUUAUAUUUGUAACUGUUGUACAAAAUCAUUUAAUGAUGGUACUCAAUUCCGCACCCAUCUUGAGCUUCAUUCACAGCCCCAAGAACCUUUAGUUUGUAAAUACUGUAGCAAACAAAUUGAAAGUGCUACUGGACUAAAGGCACAUGAACAAGUAUGUAGGGGACUGAGCACUUUAUAUGUUGAAAGUGACAAUGAGCAGAGUUGUUUAGAUAGUUUUGAAACUUCUUGUGGAAAGAAUGGCACCUCGUAUAAAAACUCAGAGUCUGCAAUGUCAGAAAAUAAUCUUGGUGAUUAUUCUGUCACAAACUGCACAAUGCCAGAAACAGACCACUUUGUUAAGGUUGUUGAUGGGCAAAUACUUUAUACUUGCAAUGUUUGCAAACGUACCUAUGUCACCUUGUCUAGCCUCCGAAGACAUUCAAACGUCCAUUCAUGGACAAGAACUUACCCUUGUCAUUACUGCAACAAAAUAUUUGCAUUAGCAGAAUACCGUACCAGACAUGAAAUCUGGCACACAGGAGAAAGGCGGUACCAGUGUAUCUUCUGCCUUGAGACCUUCAUGACAUAUUACAUACUAAAAAACCACCAGAAAUCUUUCCAUGCGAUUGACCACCGGCUUGGAGUAAAUAAGAAAACUGCUAAUGGAGGCUUGAAACCAAGUGUAUACCCUUACAAACUUUAUAGGCUUUUGCCUAUGAAAUGCAAAAGGACAUCAUAUAAAAGUUAUGGGAAAUCACCAUAUGAAAGCAUACAAGCAAGCAUGCAAGUUAACGAAGUUCCUUCCAGGACCUGCAUUGUUCAGAAUACUGCUGCUUCUGAACUGCCGUCACUGAAUUUUUCAAACAAAAUGUUGUCAAAUACAACUAUCUCCUUGGAAACAUCUUCAUGUAGUGAUGCAAUAGCAGCGCCUGCGAACCCUCCUAAUAGUUCUUCCUGGGAAGUUGGCCCAUUCAAAUCAGACCCUAAAAACAAUUCUUAUACUACAGAAAGGCCAUUGUCCUCCACUGAACUUAACUCUGGCCCUCAGGAAUAUGAUUCAUCUCUUCUAGCAUUUUGUAGUAACAAUGCCAGUGAAAAUCCAACCUCUGCUAUUAACUAUAAUAAUUCAGCAUCACCUGUGAUAGUGCAGAGUUGUAGAGUUUCAUCUGUAAUAAUGCACAGUAAUGCCAUCAAUGCAAUAGGAAGCAGUAGUACAGCAACCUCAGUGGUUACAACCAGUCAAAUAGCAAGCAAUGACCAUGUACAUGGGUCAGAUGAUAGCAAAAGCAAUGCUAGAACAAGAAGCAAUAAGGAAAAGAAAAAAAUACCACUAUAUGACAAAGAAGAGAUAUCAGAGGAAUUAAAGUAUAUGGCAAAUACAGGAAUGUCCUCUGACAGACCCACAGAUACCUUUGAACCUUCAAGUAAGACUGAAACCUACAUUGCAAAACCUGCAUUACCAGGAACAUCUGCUGAUAGCAAUGUUGCUCCUCUUUGUCAAAUAACAGUUAAAAUUGGGAAUGAAGCCGUUGUGAAAAGACAAAUUUUGGGGUCCAAACUGUUUUACAAAAAAGGGAGAAGAUCUAAAUAUGAUUCCAGAGAAGACCAUACCAUUCAGGUUGCAGAGCGAGAAAAGAGAGAGAGAAGUACAUCUCGAGUGUGUAGAUCAGACUACAUUGAACUCAGUGAAAUGUGUGAUGAUGUAAGCGACCAUGACUCCAAUGAUAAACCAUGGCGCCCAUAUUAUAAUUACAAACCAAAAAAGAAAUCUAAACAACUAAGGAAAAUGAGAAAUGCAAAAUGGAGAGAAAAGUAUAAGAGUAGAAAUUCCUGCAGAGAAAGUGAAAAGACGUGUGUCACAAAUUACACACUUAGGAACAUUCCUGAAGAGAAGAUUGUUAAUCAAGAUAAUGGGGAAAUGCCAGGCCUUCAUUGUGAACUCUGUGAAAGAGAAAACUCUUCUACUGAAGAAGCCCAGGAGCAUUUACACUGGGACACAACUACUUCUGAGUCUUAUGUUUGUGAGUUAUGCCAAAAGGUGUUCCAGAACCCACCUGCUUUAAGGAUGCAUAUGCAAUGUCAUACAGGAGAAAAACCCUACCCUUGUAAAACCUGCGGGAAGAGCUUUUCAGUAUCAGCAAACUUACAGAAGCAUGAAUGCACCCACUCGGGUGUCAACAAUUUUGUCUGUCAGUACUGUAACAAGACAUUCACUUUAAAUGAAACGCUCAAAAUACAUGAGCGAAUCCAUACAGGAGAAAAGCGCUACCACUGUCAGUUUUGCUUUCAGAGCUUCUUGUAUCUUUCUACCAAAAGAAAUCAUGAGCAAAGACAUAAACGUGAGCAUAGCAGGAAAGGAUUUGCCUGUUUUCAGUGCCCCAAAAUUUGCAAGACAGCAGCUGCUCUCGGAAUGCACCAGAAGAAGCAUCUAUUUAAAAGCCCCAAGCAGGAGGAUAGAAAAGAAUAUUCGUUUCAUGAAAGCACUAAUCCAUAUAUAAGUCAAAACUUCAUUGGCUCAGACGGGCAGGAAACAGCCAAACCUUUACUAACUCAAAAUGUAAUUGAUGCAGAUGGGCGUGAAGCAGCUACCAUUCCGAAUACCACAUCAGAUGCUGGACUUUGAGUAAGAAAAACAUACAGCAGGCAAGAAAACAGAAACAGGAGAAACCUGAAAAAGUAACAGAGCAAUCCAAAUGCUGGGGAGCGACGGAGAAGCCAACGGAAAGCUCUGCGGGAUCCUCCUCCUGCUUGGGAGCCAGCAGCCCGGCUCAAUGCCACCUCUGUUGUGAGCCGCACACAUGAGCAGGAAGGAAGAAGCCAGCUCCCACGAACAGGCCUCCCAUGGACUAAGUGUUCCCUGUAGAUGGCCAUUAUGAUUUUUUUUACUGCACUGGCCUUUUGGCCAGUGGGGUUUCUGGGCAAAUUGGGACCCAGGGAAGGGCUCUGAAUGUGAGGAAGAUCUUGUGCAAGUCCCCCCCCCCACGGCUUCACUCCUGCCAUGCCCCAUUUUUGGGGUUUCCACCGGCUUCUGCUGGCUGUCCAUCCACUGGGCUGACCGUCCCUGGUGGACCCCUGGCAGUGCCAGCAGGCUCCUGGUGGCACCACAGCUCAUCCAUGCUGGAGGGCUGCUGCCAGCAGAGGCCGGCGCAGCCAGGGGCCCACAGCAUCCAAUUCCCCCCAGCCCAGUGGAAAGGUCAGUUGGAUUGUGCCCUAAAUAUCCCAUGCAAUUGAUACCAGUAUUGAAAGAAGUUGAUUGUACCCUGGGGUUGUUCUACAGCUGCUUUGGUUUGAGAGUCUUGCAAUUAGAAAAUAUAAAUGUGUGACGUAUUUCAAAUAAGUAAAUUAUGACAUUUUCUAAAAUGACACGUAUGUUAACAAUUCUAGACCAAAGGCAAUGUGUGUAAUAUUUAUACAUAGCGAUAAUUUUAUAAUUUUCUAUCACUGUGUAAUGAAUAUGAGAAAUAAUAGCUUAUGUUACG